AGAGUUUGAUCAUGGCUCAGGACGAACGCUGGCGGCGUGCUUAACACAUGCAAGUCGAACGAUGAAGCCCUUCGGGGUGGAUUAGUGGCGAACGGGUGAGUAACACGUGGGUAAUCUGCCCUGUACUUUGGGAUAAGCCCUGGAAACGGGGUCUAAUACCGAAUAUGACUGCGCAUCGCAUGGUGUGUGGUGGAAAGUUUCGGCGGUACAGGAUGAGCCCGCGGCCUAUCAGCUUGUUGGUGGGGUGAUGGCCUACCAAGGCGACGACGGGUAGCCGGCCUGAGAGGGCGACCGGCCACACUGGGACUGAGACACGGCCCAGACUCCUACGGGAGGCAGCAGUGGGGAAUAUUGCACAAUGGGCGAAAGCCUGAUGCAGCGACGCCGCGUGAGGGAUGACGGCCUUCGGGUUGUAAACCUCUUUCGACAGGGACGAAGGGCAACUGACGGUACCUGUAGAAGAAGCACCGGCUAACUACGUGCCAGCAGCCGCGGUAAUACGUAGGGUGCGAGCGUUGUCCGGAAUUAUUGGGCGUAAAGAGCUCGUAGGCGGUUUGUCGCGUCGGCUGUGAAAACUGGAGGCUUAACCUUCAGCUUGCAGUCGAUACGGGCAGACUUGAGUUCGGUAGGGGAGACUGGAAUUCCUGGUGUAGCGGUGAAAUGCGCAGAUAUCAGGAGGAACACCGGUGGCGAAGGCGGGUCUCUGGGCCGAUACUGACGCUGAGGAGCGAAAGCGUGGGGAGCGAACAGGAUUAGAUACCCUAGUAGUCC
rnacentral:rRNA from 1 species